GCUCCCAGGCCUCGGCCCUCUCCCCCUUAGUUGCUAGGGCUGGCGCUUGCAGGGAGGCAGCGGGGCUGGUUGUGAUCAGUAACCACUUACACUCAGGAGCUCUUUCGCAUGCCAGUGACUCAGGACUAAUAAAAUGCACGUGACCCGCACAGUCUGCAGAGGGAGGAAAACAACCCUUCUAGGGCAAAUGUUACUGACAAGGGAUUCUACAAAAUCAUGUCUCCUUCGAGCCGGAAUCGAACCAGCGACCUAAGGAUUCCCACAGGCAACACCUCUACAGUCCUCCGCUCUACCAGCUGAGCUAUCGAAGGGACUUUAUGAGUGUCUGUCCAUUGAUGCCUGAAUAGAAGAAACCAUUUCCUGUAACUUUUUUCGCUGUGCCUCAAUCAAGAGAUGGCGAGGUAUGAAGCUGAAAGCUGCAGAAUAUGCUUCCAAGAGUCCAAUAAAUGCUAAGAACCAAGACAACUAAUGGCUGCAAACAGCUGAUUUCAGGGCAAGGAAUUUAUUUUCAGAAAUGACUUCAUUUUUAAAUAAUGCAGCUUUUGAACACAAGUUCUAAGUUUCAAGAAGCUGACUCUGAUUUAGUGGUAGAGUAUGUACUACCGCUCAGGAUUAGAAUUCAAGUCUGAAUACCAAAGGCUGGGUAAUCCUUUUUAGGUAACAUGCUGAGUGUCUAGAGGCUGUCCCCCACUGAGGACCCUAUCUACCAGUUUUAGGAGCAAAAGGUGAAGUUUUCAAAAGCACCUAAGUGACUAAGGAUCCUAAAAUUCAAUGAAAGUCAAUAUGACAUAGGCUCCUCCUACAUGCCUAAAUCACUUUUGAAAAUGGGACUUCGAUGCUUUUAAAAAUUUGAUCCAGGGUCUUUUAGUACUCUCUCUCAGAUUGUAAACUCUUUGGAGCACAGAUUUUCUGUCUUUAUAAAUCAGACAGCACUGAUCGCAUUGUCAUCACUAAACAAACAAAGAUUGAGAGAGUCAUAUUAGCUGGAGCAAGUUACCACAACACAGGGAUGAAUAAAAGAUAGGCAAAUAAAGGGAGAAUCCUCAAGUAUCGGAAGACUAUCUUCACAGGGCAAGGAAGAGAGUUAUACAGAUCACAGCAUACAAUCAUUUUCUGAAAUUCUAGCGAUUUUGAAGAGAUCCAGUUUUCCUUAAAUUGUUCUAGUGUCUUAUGUGUAGAGGCAGCACAGCUUAGGUUAAAGCAGCCAGUUUCAUAAGAGCAUCUACAGGAUCCUAACACUGCUUUUGGUUUAUAUUAAGUUAAUAUUAAAUAACUAGUAAGGCAGUGUUGAAUUGGGGAUAGUCUAAAACAGUGUUUCUCAACCCAUGGGCCAUGACCCAAAAAUGGGUCACAAGAACAUAUGAAAGGGUUGCAAACAAAUUUUAAAAAUAGAUCAUAUUUGGAUACUUUUUUUUUUUUUUUUUAAAUAGAUGACACUUGUGCUUUACCGUAUGUUAACACUGUGCAUACCAAUGGUAUUGCCACCCUUCCUUCUGCUGGUGGUGGUGCUGCCUUCAGAGCUGGGCAGAUGGAAAGCAGCAGCUGCUGGCUGGGUGGUAUGGUAUUGCCACCUUUACUUCUGUGCUUCUGCUGGCAGCAGCUUUAACUUAUUAUUUCUAUUGCUGUUAUUACAUGUAGUGGGUAAUAAGUAUUUUGUGGCCAAAAUACUUGUGUUUUCUACUUAAGCUAUUUACUGGGUCAGUAUUGGCCAUCAAUGUUUACAAACGGGUCCUGGUCCAAAAAAGGUUGAGAACCAGUGGACUAAAACAUGCAAGUGUUCAAUAUAGAAUGGCAUGAGCCCACAAGAACAUGACACAUUUCCAGAUGAGUAUUACAAGGAGGCAGCAAUUUGAAAUAAAAUUAACUAUAAACUGAGGCCAGACAGAGGUAAAAUGUCAAAAAAUGUAGUCAAUUUUUUCCAGUCAGAGACCUGUAGUAGAUAUACAAGUCUAGCAACUGACAGGGGUAUGUCUACACUGCAGUUAGACACCCGCAGUUGACCUGUGCCAGAUGACUCGGGCUCACGGGGCUCAGACUAAGAAGCUGUUUAAUUGCAGUGUAGACAUUCUGGCUCAGGCAGUUGCCUGAGCUCUGGGACUCUCCCACCUUGCAGGGUCCUACAGCUCAGGCUCUAGCCUGAGCCAGAAUAUCUAUACCGCAAUUAAACAACCGCUUAGCUCAGAUCAGCUGGCACAGACCAGCUGCAGGUUUUUAACUGCAUUGUAGACAUACCUUCAGUCACUAGAAGUAGGAGGGCAGGGAGUGUGUGCUAUCAGGAAGGUUUCUAUAUUACUGGGUUUUUGGGAGGAUUUUAGUAAGCUGUGUUCCCGACAGCAUUUAGGCCUCAAGAAUAUGGAUUUUAAUUGUUAAAUAUCUUCUUCUCA